AAAGUGGGGUGCUUAACCGACUGAACCACCCCUUAAUUGGAUUUACAUUUUCAGGCCAACCUGGCUGCAGGAGGAAGGAUUGGAGCCUGAGGAAACUCUGGGGCAGGAAGGCCUGGAGAGAGGCCAUCGCGCUGGAGUUGGUCCUCGAGCCCCAGUCUGGAGAGGAGGUGACGGGGAGAAGGAGAAAUGGAGCAGCCAACAGAGAAGACAGUGAAGGAUACCAAGAAACCUGACCGAAACUCUGUAACUGAACACACCCUGGGGAAUUCUUUUGCAAAUACUACUGGGUUUGGGUGGGUUUCCAUCACUGGCUUUGCCUGGACACAUCAGAUUCACCUUGAAGGAAUUCACUAAAAGAAACCACCUGGUGCUAUGAAGUUGUGUCUGAAACCACCAUGACUUGUUUCAGUUGAUCAGCAGAUCACAAUAAAGUCAGAGACGGUCACGGUCUGGAGGCGGAGACAUUGUUCUUUAUUCCAUUUCAUUUCCUUUUUGCGAGAAAUCUGUUUCUACAAAAGAACACUGUCCUGAUUGACUUAAUAGAAAGUGGAGUUUUAAAAGUUUAUAAUGGCACAAUCAGAUCCAUAAUCGCUGAUUAACAUGAGAUUUGUGAAGACACAUGGUAAGUAAACAACUCCUUUAAGUUUUUAAAGCAUUACGUAUGACUGUAUUUUUUAAUGGCCCCUUUUAGCAUGUGAUGACCAUACCUGGUCCCCAACUUAUAUUGGACCACCCAGGAUAAAGGGGCUUAAAGUGAAUGAAGGAUCCAUAAAAGACAUACAGACGCAGGGAAUAGGGAUCACACCAAGUACUUAAACACCUAGCACAGGAGAGACUAUUUUAUCCAUUCUGGAAGAUUAUAUCAUAAAGGAGUAUUCUUCAAACAGCUAAAAAGACACAAAAACAGUAGUGCUGUUUCUGUAAAUACAAUCUUGCACAAGCCACUACAUGUCAGAUUGAUGAACCUCCUCCAGUUGAUACUGGCAUGGGCCCCGGGUCUAGCACUCCCACUCACCAUUCCUCCGAGGCCCCUACUUGGAACCCUGGCACUCUAAAGGAAACAGUUUGGAAACCUCUGGAAGCAUUGGCUCAGCUGUUCUCCAUAUACAUUCAAGACAGUCCAAGAGUAAAUGGAUUUGAGAUAUGGGAGUAGGAAUGUCGGAUAAAAUAAAGGACUUUUAAAACAUUGCACAGAAGCCCCCGAACAAGAUUCCAGUGGCUCCUAAUUGUUGAUAAAAGGAAAUACAAAAGCACCUCCUUUAAGGCCACCCAGAACUGAGCAUUCUGCCUAACCCGGGAACCCUGAGGUCAUGAUCUGGCCUCAGUCUUUCUCUCCAACCUAACCUUCCACUGCUGGUCCGUCU